UACGUAGGUGGCAAGCGUUGUCCGGAUUUACUGGGUGUAAAGGGCGUGUAGCCGGGUUGACAAGUCAGAUGUGAAAUCCUGCGGCUUAACCGCAGAACUGCAUUUGAAACUGUUGAUCUUGAGUAUCGGAGAGGUAACCGGAAUUCCUAGUGUAGCGGUGAAAUGCGUAGAUAUUAGGAAGAACACCAGUGGCGAAGGCGGGUUACUGGACGACAACUGACGGUGAGGCGCGAAAGCGUGGGGAGCAAACAGG
rnacentral:rRNA from 1 species